rnacentral:rRNA from 1 species
GACGAACGCUGGCGGCGUGCUUAACACAUGCAAGUCGAACGGAAAGGCCCUGCUUUUGUGGGGUGCUCGAGUGGCGAACGGGUGAGUAACACGUGAGUAACCUGCCCUUGACUUUGGGAUAACUUCAGGAAACUGGGGCUAAUACAGGAUAGGAGCUCCUGCUGCAUGGUGGGGGUUGGAAAGUUUCGGCGGUUGGGGAUGGACUCGCGGCUUAUCAGCUUGUUGGUGGGGUAGUGGCUUACCAAGGCUGUGACGGGUAGCCGGCCUGAGAGGGUGACCGGCCACAUUGGGACUGAGAUACGGCGCAGACUCCUACGGGAGGCAGCAGUGGGGAAUAUUGCACAAUGGUCGGAAGCCUGAUGCAGCAACGCCGCGUGCGGGAUGACGGCCUUCGGGUUGUAAACCGCUUUCGCCUGUGACGAAGCGUGAGUGACGGUAAUGGGUAAAGAAGCACCGGCUAACUACGUG